rnacentral:rRNA from 1 species
GGGAGACACACGGCGGGUGCUAACGUCCGUCGUGAAGAGGGAAACAACCCAGACCGCCAGCUAAGGUCCCAAAGUCAUGGUUAAGUGGGAAACGAUGUGGGAAGGCCCAGACAGCCAGGAUGUUGGCUUAGAAGCAGCCAUCAUUUAAAGAAAGCGUAAUAGCUCACUGGUCGAGUCGGCCUGCGCGGAAGAUGUAACGGGGCUAAACCAUGCACCGAAGCUGCGGCAGCGACGCUUAUGCGUUGUUGGGUAGGGGAGCGUUCUGUAAGCCUGCGAAGGUGUGCUGUGAGGCAUGCUGGAGGUAUCAGAAGUGCGAAUGCUGACAUAAGUAACGAUAAAGCGGGUGAAAAGCCCGCUCGCCGGAAGACCAAGGGUUCCUGUCCAACGUUAAUCGGGGCAGGGUGAGUCGACCCCUAAGGCGAGGCCGAAAGGCGUAGUCGAUGGGAAACAGGUUAAUAUUCCUGUACUUGGUGUUACUGCGAAGGGGGGACGGAGAAGGCUAUGUUGGCCGGGCGACGGUUGUCCCGGUUUAAGCGUGUAGGCUGGUUUUCCAGGCAAAUCCGGAAAAUCAAGGCUGAGGCGUGAUGACGAGGCACUACGGUGCUGAAGCAACAAAUGCCCUGCUUCCAGGAAAAGCCUCUAAGCAUCAGGUAACAUCAAAUCGUACCCCAAACCGACACAGGUGGUCAGGUAGAGAAUACCAAGGCGCUUGAGAGAACUCGGGUGAAGGAACUAGGCAAAAUGGUGCCGUAACUUCGGGAGAAGGCACGCUGAUAUGUAGGUGAAGUCCCUCGCGGAUGGAGCUGAAAUCAGUCGAAGAUACCAGCUGGCUGCAACUGUUUAUUAAAAACACAGCACUGUGCAAACACGAAAGUGGACGUAUACGGUGUGACGCCUGCCCGGUGC